CGCUGUAGAUGGACAAGCUUGAUUGU
rnacentral:piRNA from 2 species